rnacentral:rRNA from 1 species
UACGUAGGGGGCAAGCGUUGUCCGGAUUUAUUGGGCGUAAAGAGCGUGUAGGCGGCCAGACAGGUCAGCUGUGAAAACUCGAGGCUCAACCUCGAGACGUCGGUUGAAACCGUUUGGCUAGAGUCCGGAAGAGGAGAGUGGAAUUCCCGGUGAUAGCGGUGAAAUGCGCAGAUAUCGGGAAGAACACCCGUGGCGAAGGCGGCUCUCUGGGACGGUACUGACGCUGAGACGGCGAAAGCGUGGGGAGCGAACAGG